rnacentral:rRNA from 1 species
ACGCUAGCUACAGGCUUAACACAUGCAAGUCGAGGGGCAGCAUUUCAGUUUGCUUGCAAACUGGAGAUGGCGACCGGCGCACGGGUGAGUAACACGUAUCCAACCUGCCGAUAACUCGGGGAUAGCCUUUCGAAAGAAAGAUUAAUACCCGAUGGUGUAAUCAGACCGCAUGGUCUUGUCAUUAAAGAAUUUCGGUUAUCGAUGGGGAUGCGUUCCAUUAGGCAGUUGGUGAGGUAACGGCUCACCAAACCUUCGAUGGAUAGGGGUUCUGAGAGGAAGGUCCCCCACAUUGGAACUGAGACACGGUCCAAACUCCUACGGGAGGCAGCAGUGAGGAAUAUUGGUCAAUGGGCGCAGGCCUGAACCAGCCAAGUAGCGUGAAGGAUGACUGCCCUAUGGGUUGUAAACUUCUUUUAUAUGGGAAUAAAGUUUUCCACGUGUGGAAUUUUGUAUGUACCAUAUGAAUAAGGAUCGGCUAACUCCGUGCCAGCAGCCGCGGUAAUACGGAGGAUCCGAGCGUUAUCCGGAUUUAUUGGGUUUAAAGGGAGCGUAGGUGGACAGUUAAGUCAGUUGUGAAAGUUUGCGGCUCAACCGUAAAAUUGCAGUUGAUACUGGCUGUCUUGAGUACAGUAGAGGUGGGCGGAAUUCGUGGUGUAGCGGUGAAAUGCUUAGAUAUCACGAAGAACUCCGAUUGCGAAGGCAGCUCACUGGACUGCAACUGACACUGAUGCUCGAAAGUGUGGGUAUCAAACAGGAUUAGAUACCCUGGUAGUCCACACAGUAAACGAUGAAUACUCGCUGUUUGCGAUAUACAGUAAGCGGCCAAGCGAAAGCAUUAAGUAUUCCACCUGGGGAGUACGCCGGCAACGGUGAAACUCAAAGGAAUUGACGGGGGCCCGCACAAGCGGAGGAACAUGUGGUUUAAUUCGAUGAUACGCGAGGAACCUUACCCGGGCUUAAAUUGCAUUUGAAUAUAUUGGAAACAGUAUAGCCGUAAGGCAAAUGUGAAGGUGCUGCAUGGUUGUCGUCAGCUCGUGCCGUGAGGUGUCGGCUUAAGUGCCAUAACGAGCGCAACCCUUAUCUUUAGUUACUAACAGGUCAUGCUGAGGACUCUAGAGAGACUGCCGUCGUAAGAUGUGAGGAAGGUGGGGAUGACGUCAAAUCAGCACGGCCCUUACGUCCGGGACUACACACGUGUUACAAUGGGGGGUACAGAAGGCAGCUACCUGGUGACAGGAUGCUAAUCCCAAAAGCCUCUCUCAGUUCGGAUCGAAGUCUGCAACCCGACUUCGUGAAGCUGGAUUCGCUAGUAAUCGCGCAUCAGCCAUGGCGCGGUGAAUACGUUCCCGGGCCUUGUACACACCGCCCGUCAAGCCAUGAAAGCCGGGGGUACCUGAAGUACGUAACCGCAAGGAGCGUCCUAGGGUAAAACUGGUAAUUGGG